rnacentral:rRNA from 1 species
GACGAACGCUGGCGGCGUGCUUAACACAUGCAAGUCGAACGGAAAGGCCCUGCUUUUGUGGGGUGCUCGAGUGGCGAACGGGUGAGUAACACGUGAGUAACCUGCCCUUGACUUUGGGAUAACUUCAGGAAACUGGGGCUAAUACCGGAUAGGAGCUCCUGCUGCAUGGUGGGGAUUGGAAAGUUUCGGCGGUUGGGGAUGGACUCGCGGCUUAUCAGCUUGUUGGUGGGGUAGUGGCUUACCAAGGCUUUGACGGGUAGCCGGCCUGAGAGGGUGACCGGCAACAUUGGGACUGAGAUACGGCCCAGACUCCUACGGGAGGCAGCAGUGGGGAAUAUUGCACAAUGGGCGGAAGCCUGAUGCAGCAACGCCGCGUGCGGGAUGACGGCCUUCGGGUUGUAAACCGCUUUCGCCUGUGACGAAGCGUGAGUGACGGUAAUGGGUAAAGAAGCACCGGCUAACUACGUG